rnacentral:rRNA from 1 species
GCCAGGCUGUCUCCACCCGAGACUCAGUGAAAUUGAACUCGCUGUGAAGAUGCAGUGUACCCGCGGCAAGACGGAAAGACCCCGUGAACCUUUACUAUAGCUUGACACUGAACAUUGAGCCUUGAUGUGUAGGAUAGGUGGGAGGCUUUGAAGUGUGGACGCCAGUCUGCAUGGAGCCGACCUUGAAAUACCACCCUUUAAUGUUUGAUGUUCUAACGUGGACCCGUAAUCCGGGUUGCGGACAGUGUCUGGUGGGUAGUUUGACUGGGGCGGUCUCCUCCUAAAGAGUAACGGAGGAGCACGAAGGUUGGCUAAUCCUGGUCGGACAUCAGGAGGUUAGUGCAAUGGCAUAAGCCAGCUUGACUGCGAGCGUGACGGCGCGAGCAGGUGCGAAAGCAGGUCAUAGUGAUCCGGUGGUUCUGAAUGGAAGGGCCAUCGCUCAACGGAUAAAAGGUACUCCGGGGAUAACAGGCUGAUACCGCCCAAGAGUUCAUAUCGACGGCGGUGUUUGGCACCUCGAUGUCGGCUCAUCACAUCCUGGGGCUGAAGUAGGUCCCAAGGGUAUGGCUGUUCGCCAUUUAAAGUGGUACGCGAGCUGGGUUUAGAACGUCGUGAGACAGUUCGGUCCCUAUCUGCCGUGGGCGCUGGAGAACUGAGGGGGGCUGCUCCUAGUACGAGAGGACCGGAGUGGACGCAUCACUGGUGUUCGGGUUGUCAUGCCAAUGGCACUGCCCGGUAGCUAAAUGCGGAAGAGAUAAGUGCUGAAAGCAUCUAAGCACGAAACUUGCCCCGA